rnacentral:lncRNA from 1 species
GCCAGACCUUCAACUCCCGAGGGAUUCGGGGCCAAACCUGCAAAUCCCGAGGGAUCUGGGGGCAAAAUCCCACCCGGAGACAGGAGGCGAGAGAGGAAUUCCAGGGGAUUCCAGCCGGGAAUUGCAUCCGCCGAUGGACUCGACGGAUUCAGCCCCGGAAGUCCCAAUCCCGAUGGAUUUGGGGUCGGAAUUCCCUCCGGGGAUGAGGAAGGAGGGAGGAUUUACAGAGAAUUCCGGCCGGGAAUUGCAUCUCCCGAUGGAUUUGGGGUCGGAAUCCCGACCCGCCACGGAAGGGUCCGGAAGCCUCCUGCCCAAUCCCGGCCCGGGAUUCCCUCAGAAUUCCAGGAAUGCCGGGAACUGCCCCCGGAGGAGCAGCAGGAAAACCCAAAUCCUGCCGGAUUCCGGACAGGAAUCCCCGGAAGACACCGGAAAGACCCGGACUCCUCCGGCUGAAGGCUCCGGAAAGCCCCGAAUUCCCCCCAGUUCCAGGGGGGAAUCCCAAGAAAACCCCCGGAAACGCCCCAUUGUCCCGAACUGCGGCCGGGAAACCCCGGGAAACCCUGGGAAACGUCGGAUCCUGGCGGGAAACUCCGGAAAGGUCCAGAUCCCGACGGAAAAAAACUCCUGGAGACCCCAAAUCCCAACGAAUUCCAGCUGGGAACCGCCGGGAGGCGCCGGAAAACACCAAAUCCCGGCGGAAGAGUCUGGAAAAACCCAAAUUCCCGCGGAAAACACUGGAAAACUCCCCGUGGGAAAACCUGGAAAACUUCAGAUUCCCGUGGAAAAUCCCCAAAUUCUCCAGGAUUCCGGCCGGGAACCCCCGGGAAACGCCGGGAGACCGACGGAAAACUCCGGAACCCCCCAGAUUGCGGCGGAAAAGGCCCCGAUUGUUGCGGGUUCCGGUCUGGAAUUCCGGGACCCCGGGCUGGAUUCCCAGGAUCCCGGGCUGGAAUUGCGGGAUCCCAGGCUGGAAUUCCCGGACCCCGGGCUGGAUUCCCGGGAUCCCGGGCGGGAGUCGCGGCUGCCGCAGCUCCGGGGGGUCCUGGCGCGGCUGCGGGUCCCGAUCCGAGCCCCCCCCGGGGGCCCCCCGGGGCUGUACCGGGACCGGGCGGGGGAGGGGCGGCACGUGGUGACCCUCCAGGCCACCGUGGACCCCCGGGGCUGCCUCUGGAACGUGGAGAUCCAACCCCCCGGCACCAAAUUCCGAGACUCCGCCCUUUUCCGCAGGCUCGGGGGGAGGGGGGGGGCGGGGCAGGGGUCAUCAAG